rnacentral:lncRNA from 1 species
UGAGUCACCGGAGCAAGGCCGGAUCCACGCCGGCGACGUGCUGGCACAAACCCUAGCUGGUGGGCAGGGUCACGCUUGGUCGCUGGAGGUCGCGCGCGUCGGAUCUUGCCCGAUGGGAGGAAGGAACGUUGAGAGGGGGACACGGUGGUGUGCUGGGCGCCGCCGGAGGACGCUGGAAUCGGGCGGGAUCGGGCACCGUAGGUGGUGGUGGCGGCGGCGAGAAGUGGUGCGGGGAGAGGGAGAGACGAGAAAGAGAAAGGAUUGGUGGGUCA